GAGGGUAUUGCUCAGUGGUAGAGUGUAUGCUUAGCAUUCAUGAGGUCCUGGGUUCAAUCCCCAGUGCCUCCA
rnacentral:tRNA from 1 species